CCUACGGGAGGCAGCAGUGGGGAAUAUUGGACAAUGGGCGAAAGCCUGAUCCAGCCAUGCCGCGUGUGUGAAGAAGGUCUUCGGAUUGUAAAGCACUUUAAGUUGGGAGGAAGGGCAUUAACCUAAUACGUUAGUGUUUUGACGUUACCGACAGAAUAAGCACCGGCUAACUUCGUGCCAGCAGGCGCGGUAAA
rnacentral:rRNA from 1 species